GAUGAACGCUAGCGGCAGGCUUAAUACAUGCAAGGCGAAGGGGCAGCAAUGUCACUGUCGUACGGGUGCGUAACGCGUAUGCAACCUACCUAUCACUGGGGGAUAGCCCGGGGAAACCCGGAUUAAUACCGCAUAAUACAGGGGUAUCACAUGGUACUAUUUGUUAAAGAUUUAUCGGUGGUAGAUGAGCAUGCGUUCGA
rnacentral:rRNA from 1 species